UACGGAGGGAGCAAGCGUUGAUCGGAAUUACUGGGCGUAAAGCGCACGCAGGCGGUUUGUUAAGUUAGAUGUGAAAUCCCCGGGCUCAACCUGAGAACUGCAUUUGAUACUGGCAAGCUUGAGUCUCGUAGAGGGGGGUAGAAUUCCAGGUGUAGCGGUGAAAUGCGUAGAGAUCUGGAGGAAUACCGGUGGCGAAGGCGGCCCCCUGGACGAAGACUGACGCUCAGGUGCGAAAGCGUGGGGAGCAAACAGG
rnacentral:rRNA from 1 species